UUCGAGUGGCGGACGGGUGAGUAACGCGUGGGUAACCUGCCUUACACAGGGGGAUAACACCUGGAAACAGGUGCUAAUACCGCAUAAGCGCACAGGGCCGCAUGGCCCGGUGUGAAAAACCCCGGUGGUGUAAGAUGGACCCGCGUCUGAUUAGCUUGUUGGCGGGGUAGGGGCCCACCAAGGCGACGAUCAGUAGCCGGCCUGAGAGGGCGGACGGCCACAUUGGGACUGAGACACGGCCCAGACUCCUACGGAAGGCAGCAG
rnacentral:rRNA from 1 species